rnacentral:rRNA from 1 species
AGAGUUUGAUCCUGGCUCAGAUUGAACGCUGGCGGCAGGCCUAACACAUGCAAGUCGAGCGCGAAAGGCCUUCGGGUUGAGUAGAGCGGCGGACGGGUGAGUAACGCGUAGGAAUCUACCUGGUAGUGGGGGACAACUUGUGGAAACGCAAGCUAAUACCGCAUACGACCUAAGGGUGAAAGUGGGGGACCUUCGGGCCUCACGCUAUCGGAUGAGCCUGCGUAGGAUUAGCUUGUUGGUGAGGUAAAGGCUCACCAAGGCGACGAUCCUUAGCUGGUCUGAGAGGAUGAUCAGCCACACUGGAACUGAGACACGGUCCAGACUCCUACGGGAGGCAGCAGUGGGGAAUAUUGCGCAAUGGGGGCAACCCUGACGCAGCCAUGCCGCGUGUGUGAAGAAGGCCUUCGGGUUGUAAAGCACUUUCAAUUGGGAAGAAAAGUUCAUCGUGAAUAGCGGUGAGCCUUGACAUUACCUUUAGAAGAAGCACCGGCUAACUCCGUGCCAGCAGCCGCGGUAAUACGGAGGGUGCGAGCGUUAAUCGGAAUUACUGGGCGUAAAGCGCGCGUAGGCGGUUUGUUAAGUCAGCUGUGAAAGCCCCGGGCUCAACCUGGGAACUGCAGCUGAUACUGGCCGACUAGAGUACGAGAGAGGGAGGUAGAAUUCCAUGUGUAGCGGUGAAAUGCGUAGAUAUAUGGAGGAAUACCGGUGGCGAAGGCGGCCUCCUGGCUCGAUACUGACGCUGAGUGCGAAAGCGUGGGGAUCAAACAGGAUUAGAUACCCUGGUAGUCCACGCCGUAAACGAUGUCUACUAGCCGUUGUGAGACUUGAUUUCUUUAGUGGCGCAGCUAACGCAAUAAGUAGACCGCCUGGGGAGUACGGCCGCAAGGUGAUAACUCUAAAUGAAUAGACAGGGGGCCGCACACGCGGUGGAGCAUGUGGUGUAAUUCGACGCAACGCGAAGAACCUUACCAGGUCUUGACAUCCAGAGAACUUUCCAGAGAUAGAUUGGUGCCUUCGGGAGCUCUGAGACAGGUGCUGCAUGGCUGUCGUCAGCUCGUGUCGUGAGAUGUUGUGUUAAGUCCCGUAACGAGCGCAACCCUUGUCCUUAGUUGCCAGCGCGUAAUGGCGGGAACUCUAAGGAGACUGCCGGUGACAAACCGGAGGAAGGUGGGGACGACGUCAAGUCAUCAUGGCCCUUACGACCUGGGCUACACACGUGCUACAAUGGAACGCACAGAGGGCUGCAAACCCGCGAGGGGGAGCGAAUCCCACAAAACGUUUCGUAGUCCGGAUUGGAGUCUGCAACUCGACUCCAUGAAGUCGGAAUCGCUAGUAAUCGUGGAUCAGAAUGCCACGGUGAAUACGUUCCCGGGCCUUGUACACACCGCCCGUCACACCAUGGGAGUGGGUUGCAAAAGAAGUGGGUAGACUAACCUUCGGGAGGUCGCUCACCACUGUGUGAUUCAUGACUGGGGUGAAGUCGUAACAAGGUAACC